GCCACGGAUUGAGGGCCCUCCUUUCCCUCGGGAGCUGGAGGUGGCGCUCCUCUCCUGCACGGCCACCAUCGCCUGUGAGCUGUUGCUACAAUGAGUAGAGGCAGUCCUUGAGUUACAGCAGUUCGUUUCGUGACCAGCUGAA